UAAAGAUUUUUGUAUAAGCUUCUAACUUAUAGUUCGGUAAAAGUUUUUUCAUUACCAUCUUUAU
rnacentral:tRNA from 1 species